rnacentral:rRNA from 1 species
AACGAACGCUGGCGGCAUGCCUAACACAUGCAAGUCGAACGAGACCUUCGGGUCUUGUGGCGCACGGGUGCGUAACGCGUGGGAACCUGCCCUUAGGUUCGGAAUAACUCCCCGAAAGGGGUGCUAAUACAGGAUAAUGUCUUCGGACCAAGGAUUUAUCGCCUUUGGAUGGGCCCGCGUUGGAUUAGCUAGUUGGUAGGGUAAAAGCCUACCAAGGCGACGAUCCAUAGCUGGUCUGAGAGGAUGAUCAGCCACACUGGGACUGAGACACGGCCCAGACUCCUACGGGAGGCAGCAGUGGGGAAUAUUGGACAAUGGGCGAAAGCCUGAUCCAGCAAUGCCGCGUGAGUGAUGAAGGCCUUAGGGUUGUAAAGCUCUUUUACCCGGGAUGAUAAUGACAGUACCGGGAGAAUAAGCUCCGGCUAACUCCGUG